rnacentral:rRNA from 1 species
ACAUCGGUCCAAUCCUUAAAGUCAUCCUCAGUUCGGACUGGGGUCUGCAACCCGACCCCACGAAGCUGGAUUCGCUAGUAAUCGCGCAUCAGCCAUGGCGCGGUGAAUACGUUCCCGGGCCUUGUACACGCCGCCCGUCAAGCCAUGAAAGCCGGGGGGCGCCUGAAGUCCGUGACCGCGAGGGUCGGCCUAGGGUGAAACCGGUGAUUGGGGCUAAGUCGUAACAAGGUAGC